rnacentral:rRNA from 1 species
CCUACGGGUGGCUGCAGUAGGGAAUAUUGGACAAUGGGCGAGAGCCUGAUCCAGCCAUGCCGCGUGCAGGAAGAAGGCCUUCUGGGUUGUAAACUGCUUUUGCCGGGGGAUAAAAUACCCAUGCGUGGGGAAUUGAAGGUACCCGGUGAAUAAGCCACGGCUAACUACGUGCCAGCAGCCGCGGUAAUACGUAGGUGGCGAGCGUUGUCCGGAUUUAUUGGGUUUAAAGGGUGCGUAGGCGGCCCCGUUAGUCAGCGGUGAAAUACGGCAGCUUA